UACGUAGGGUGCAAGCGUUAAUCGGAAUUACUGGGCGUAAAGCGUGCGCAGGCGGUUUUGUAAGUCUGUCGUGAAAUCCCCGGGCUCAACCUGGGAAUUGCGAUGGAGACUGCAAGGCUAGAAUCUGGCAGAGGGGGGUAGAAUUCCACGUGUAGCAGUGAAAUGCGUAGAGAUGUGGAGGAAUACCGAUGGCGAAGGCAGCCCCCUGGGAUAACACUGACGCUCAUGCACGAAAGCGUGGGGAGCAACAGG
rnacentral:rRNA from 1 species